GAUGAACGCUGGCGGCGUGCCUAAUACAUGCAAGUCGAGCGAACAGACGAGGAGCUUGCUCCUCUGACGUUAGCGGCGGACGGGUGAGUAACACGUGGAUAACCUACCUAUAAGACUGGGAUAACUUCGGGAAACCGGAGCUAAUACCGGAUAAUAUAUUGAACCGCAUGGUUCAAUAGUGAAAGACGGUUUUGCUGUCACUUAUAGAUGGAUCCGCGCCGCAUUAGCUAGUUGGUAGGGUAACGGCUUACCAAGGCAACGAUGCGUAGCCGACCUGUGAGGGUGAUCGGCCACAUUGGAACUGGACCACGGUCAUGACUCCUGAGGGAGGCAGCAGUAGGGAAUCUUCGGCAGUGGGCGAAAGCAUGACGGAGCAACGCCGCGUGAGUGAUGAAGGCGUUCGGUUCGUAAAAAUCUGUUAUUAGGGAAGAACAAAUGUGUAAGUAACUAUGCAGGUCUUGACGGUACCUGAUCAGGAAGCCACGGCUAACUACGUG
rnacentral:rRNA from 1 species